UACGAAGGUGGCAAGCGUUGUUCGGAUUUACUGGGCGUACAGGGAGCGUAGGCGGUUGGAUAAGCCCUCCGUGAAAUCUCCAGGCUUAACCUGGAAAGUGCAGAGGGGACUGUUCAGCUAGAGGAUGGGAGAGGAGCGCGGAAUUCCCGGUGUAGCGGUGAAAUGUGUAGAGAUCGGGAGGAACACCGGUGGCGAAGGCGGGUCUCUGGGCAAUUCCUGACGCUGAGGCGCGAAAGCGUGGGGAGCAAACGGG
rnacentral:rRNA from 1 species